AAUAAUGGCAAAUUUGGAGAAAUCCAAAGACGCAAAGCUAAAGGGGCUAAGGUAAUUAUUACUAUGCCAGCCAGUUGCCGAA
rnacentral:ncRNA from 1 species